rnacentral:rRNA from 1 species
AGCGGCAGGCCUAACACAUGCAAGUCGAGGGGUAACAGGGAGCUUGCUCCGCUGACGACCGGCGCACGGGUGCGCAACGCGUAUGCAAUCUACCUCUUACUAAGGGAUAGCCCAGAGAAAUUUGGAUUAAUAUCUUAUGUGAUAUUAGACUGGCAUCGGUUUAAUAUUAAAGGUUACGGUAAGAGAUGAGCAUGCGUCUCAUUAGUUAGUUGGUAAGGUAACGGCUUACCAAGACUUCGAUGAGUAGGGGUCCUGAGAGGGAGAUCCCCCACACUGGUACUGAGACACGGACCAGACUCCUACGGGAGGCAGCAGUGAGGAAUAUUGGACAAUGGACGGAAGUCUGAUCCAGCCAUGCCGCGUGUAGGAAGACUGCCCUAUGGGUUGUAAACUACUUUUAUACAGGAAGAAUAAGAUCUACGUGUAGAUUGAUGACGGUACUGUAAGAAUAAGGACCGGCUAACUCCGUGCCAGCAGCCGCGGUAAUACGGAGGGUCCGAGCGUUAUCCGGAAUUAUUGGGUUUAAAGGGUCCGUAGGCGGGCUGUUAAGUCAGAGGUGAAAUGCUGCGGCUCAACCGUAUGCACUGCCUUUGAUACUGGCGGUCUUGAGUUAUAGUGAAGUGGCUAGAAUAAGUAGUGUAGCGGUGAAAUGCAUAGAUAUUACUUAGAAUACCGAUUGCGAAGGCAGGUCACUAACUAUACACUGACGCUGAUGGACGAAAGCGUGGGUAGCGAACAGGAUUAGAUACCCUGGUAGUCCACGCCGUAAACGAUGGAUACUAGCUGUUCGGUUUUCGGACUGAGCGGCCAAGCGAAAGUGAUAA